UACAGAGGUCUCAAGCGUUGUUCGGAUUCAUUGGGCGUAAAGGGUGCGUAGGCGGCGCGGUAAGUCAGGUGUGAAAUCUCGGAGCUUAACUCCGAAACUGCAUUCGAUACUGCCGUGCUUGAGGACUGGAGAGGAGACUGGAAUUUACGGUGUAGCGGUGAAAUGCGUAGAUAUCGUAAGGAAGACCAGUGGCGAAGGCGGGUCUCUGGACAGUUCCUGACACUGAGGCACGAAGGUCAGGGGAGCAAACGGG
rnacentral:rRNA from 1 species